GCCGGAGUGGUGGAAUUGGUAGACACGUCGGAUUCAAAAUCCGAUGCCCUUAAAAGCGUGCCGGUUCGAGUCCGGCCUCCGGUACCA
rnacentral:tRNA from 1 species